UGCUUCGGUCUGUGCUUGGGCACG
rnacentral:miRNA from 1 species